AUUGAACGCUGGCGGCAGGCCUAACACAUGCAAGUCGAGCGGGGUUUUCGGACCUAGCGGCGGACGGGUGAGUAAUGCGUAGGGAGCUACCCGAUAGAGGGGGAUACCAGUUGGAAACGACUGUUAAUACCGUAUAAUGUCUACGGACCAAAGUGUGGGACCUUCGGGCCACAUGCUAUCGGAUGUGCCUACGUGGGAUUAGCUAGUUGGUGAGGUAAUGGCUCACCAAGGCGACGAUCCCUAGCUGGUUUGAGAGGAUGAUCAGCCACACUGGAACUGAGACACGGUCCAGACUCCUACGGGAGGCAGCAGUGGGGAAUAUUGGACAAUGGGCGCAAGCCUGAUCCAGCCAUGCCGCGUGUGUGAAGAAGGCCUUCGGGUUGUAAAGCACUUUCAGUAAGGAGGAAGCGUUGAGUGUUAAUAGUACUCAGCGUUGACGUUACUUACAGAAGAAGCACCGGCUAACUCUGUGCCAGCCGCCGCAGUAACAC
rnacentral:rRNA from 1 species